ensembl:lncRNA
GUUAGAGCUCCAUCCUGAGGUAACUCGUGGAGAGGUCCGGAGGUUGUGGUCCUCAUUGUUCACUCAGCAGGAUGGAUCUGUGGACUUUCAACAGUUUAUACAUCACUUUGGCCCGUCUCCCAAAUCCUGCUGUUACCCCAAUGCCAAGCACAAUCCCCCCAAACGUGGAGACAAUGACUUCAUGCGCCUCUCCAAAACACUCAACUGCGUCUCAGAUAUACUUGUGGAUGCUCUGCGGGCCAAGGUGGAGUUGUCUGUUUCUGAGCUCUGGACUGAGUUCUCUGGAAUGGAUUUUUCUGGAACAGGUUUUGUUAGCAGUGAUGAAUUUAAAGAGAUCCUUAUGAGUCUCUGUGUUCAUCUCAGUCAGUAUGAGUGUGAUCUACUGGCCAGGAAGUUUGACAUCAACCAUGAUGGCAGCGUAUCCUACACGGAAUUCCUCAAGCCUUUUCUAUCCCAGAGUCAAAUAGGGAAGCAUGGAUCCAAUAUGGCAGCUGCUCUGCAGACUCCCAGAGACCCUAAAGAAAUUUCCACCUCGGAAACAUUAAAUCGCAGGAUCAGGAAAAAGCUCCAGCGUAAGGCCAGGGCUCUUAGCAAGGCUUGUGCCCGUCUGGAUGGCUCCAGCACUGGGCUUCUGUCUACAGCUGAGCUGGGUGCUGUGCUACAGCUGUUUGGAGUGUGUCAGAGCCAAGAAGAGCUGAAGAGUGUGUUCUCUACCCUUCACACACACCCGUCUGGACUCCUAGACUACCGCCCGCUCCUAAUGGACAAACACGGGACAUCCAGUCACAACCAUCAGGCCAAACAUCUGCUCAGCCAAAGGAGUCAAUAG